rnacentral:rRNA from 1 species
UACGUAGGGUGCAAGCGUUAAUCGGAAUUACUGGGCGUAAAGCGUGCGCAGGCGGUUUUGUAAGUCUGUCGUGAAAUCCCCGGGCUCAACCUGGGAAUUGCGAUGGAGACUGCAAGGCUAGAAUCUGGCAGAGGGGGGUAGAAUUCCACGUGUAGCAGUGAAAUGCGUAGAGAUGUGGAGGAAAACCGAUGGCGAAGGCAGCCCCCUGGGUCAAGAUUGACGCUCAUGCACGAAAGCGUGGGGAGCAAACAGG